rnacentral:rRNA from 1 species
AUUGAACGCUGGCGGCAGGCCUAACACAUGCAAGUCGAACGAGCGGCGGACGGGUGAGUAAUGUAUGGGAAACUGCCCGAUGGAGGGGGAUAACUACUGGAAACGGUAGCUAAUACCGCAUACCAUCGGAUGAGCCCAUAUGGGAGUAGCUAGUAGGUGGGGUAACGGCUCACCUAGGCGCCGAUCCCUAGCUGGUCUGAGAGGAGGAUCAGCCACACUGGGACGGACACACGUUCCAGACUCCUACGGGAGGCAGCAGUGGGGAAUAUUGCACAAUGGGCGCAAGCCUGAUGCAGCCAUGCCGCGUGUAUGAAGAAGGCCUUCGGGUUGUAAAGUACUUUCAGCGAGGAGGCGUUACUCGCAGAAGAAGCACCGGCUAACUCCGUGCCAGCAGCCGCGGUAAUAC